rnacentral:rRNA from 1 species
CUGGGAAACUGGGAUUAAUACCUCAUGGUAUUAGAUUAUUGCGAUGAUCUAAUUAAAGGUUUCGGCUGGUGUAAGAUGGGUGUGCGUUAGAUUAGCUAGUUGGUAAGGUAACGGCUUACCAAGGCGACGAUCUAUAGGGGGCGUGAGAGCGUGGACCCCCACACGGGUACUGAGACACGGACCCGACUCCUACGGGAGGCAGCAGUAAGGAAUAUUGGACAAUGGGGGCAACCCUGAUCCAGCCAUCCCGCGUGCAGGAUGACGGCCCUAUGGGUUGUAAACUGC